UGGGGAAUAUUGCACAAUGGGCGCAAGCCUGAUGCAGCCAUGCCGCGUGUGUGAAGAAGGCCUUCGGGUUGUAAAGCACUUUCAGCGAGGAGGAAGGGUAGUGUGUUAAUAGCACAUUGCAUUGACGUUACUCGCAGAAGAAGCACCGGCUAACUCCGUGCCAGCAGCCGCGGUAAUACGGAGGGUGCAAGCGUUAAUCGGAAUUACUGGGCGUAAAGCGCACGCAGGCGGUUUGUUAAGUCAGAUGUGAAAUCCCCGCGCUUAACGUGGGAACUGCAUUUGAAACUGGCAAGCUAGAGUCUUGUAGAGGCGGGUAGAAUUCCAGGUGUAGCGGUGAAAUGCGUAGAGAUCUGGAGGAAUACCGGUGGCGAAGGCGGUCCCCUGGACAAAGACUGACGCUCAGGUGCGAAAGCGUGGGGAGCAAACA
rnacentral:rRNA from 1 species